GCCUCUAUAGCUCAGCUGGUAGAGCGUUACCCUCGUAAGGUAAAGGUCGCAGGUUCAAUUCCUGCUAGGGGCU
rnacentral:tRNA from 1 species